rnacentral:misc_RNA from 1 species
AAGGAGUCUAACACAUAUGCGAGUAUUUGGGUGUUAAACCCAUAAUCCGCAAUGAAAUGAUUAUGGUGGGAUCUUCGGUGCACCAUCGACCGGUCCGGACAUUUUUAGAAAGAUCUGAGUAAGAGUAUAUUUGUUAGGACCCGAAAGAUGGUGAACUAUGCCUGAAUAGGGCGAAGCCAGAGGAAACUCUGGUGGAGGCUCGUAGGGGUUCUGACGUGCAAAUCGAUCCUCAAAUUUGGGUAUAGGGGCGAAAGACUAAUCGAACUAUCUAGUAGCUGGUUCCCUC